UACAGAGGUCUCGAGCGUUGUUCGGAUUCAUUGGGCGUAAAGGGCGCGUAGGCUGCGGGGCAAGUCGGGUGUGAAAUCUCAGAGCUCAACUCUGAACUGCACUCGAUACUGCUUUGCUUGAGGACUGGAGAGGAGAUUGGAAUUCACGGUGAGCAGUGAAAUGCGUAGAUAUCGUGAGGAAGACCAGUGGCGAAGGCGGAUCUCUGGACAGUUCCUGACGCUGAGGCGACGAAGGCCAGGGGAGCAAACGGG
rnacentral:rRNA from 1 species